rnacentral:rRNA from 1 species
GAUGAACGCUAGCGGCAGGCUUAAUACAUGCAAAUCGAACGGGAUUCGGAGUAGCAAUACUUUGAUGAGAGUGGCGCACGGGUGCGUAACGCGUAUGCAACCUACCUUUAACAGGGGAAUAGCCCCGAGAAAUCGGGAUUAAUACUCCGUAACAUUGCGGUGUGGCAUCACACUGCAAUUAAAGACUUAUCGGUUAAAGAUGGGCAUGCGUGACAUUAGCUUGUUGGUGAGGUAACGGCUCACCAAGGCAACGAUGUCUAGGGGUCCUGAGAGGGUUAUCCCCCACACUGGUACUGAGACACGGACCAGACUCCUACGGGAGGCAGCAGUAAGGAAUAUUGGUCAAUGGGCGCAAGCCUGAACCAGCCAUGCCGCGUGCAGGAAGACGGCCCUAUGGGUUGUAAACUGCUUUUAUCAGGGAAUAAACCCCCGCUCGUGAGCGGGGCUGAA